AUUGAGUUAAUUUGGUGGACUGCCACAGUGGAUCACACAUGUUCACUAAUUGUGUUCAUAAGAAAAUUUUGUCAUUUUGUUACAAUUUAGUAUGAAGCUCUAAAACCGAUAUAUUUUCUGAUUAUGUGAAAUUUCAGAAAUCAAAAACAAUGCCACACAAUUCUUUUGAUUUCUUUGACAGUACCUUAUUGGUAGUUGAUCUGCACCUAGCACCUUGAUAUUAACCACUAUAUUGACACAGUUCCAAGGAUACUUUUGCUUGAAUGAGGUCGCAACCCUUGAUGACUUGAAAAAUAAGGUUAAAUACAGGAUUUUGAUCCGAGUUUAUGUAAGCUAGCAGGUGCUAUACUUGCUGGUGUGACAAUAUGAUCGAGUGGUUUAAAUUUAAGCCUACCUUUGGGCACUGUAUGUAAGUCUUGGUUUCUUGAAUUUUUAAUUUUCUACCACUGUGAUUUCUAAAUUCUGAUUUAAUCAUCCUGCAAUUUAUUUUUCCAUAAUUUUCUUUCCUAUACUUAUAUCGAACUCUUUUGUUUCACAUGGGCAGAUAUUGCUUUUCAUAAUGGAUAGCGGAUCUAAAUAGGAACACAAGGUCAUGCAUUUUUAGGAAAUAUUUGGAUUUAGCAUGUUGUGCAUAAUUAACUGGUGUAGCUCAAUUGGUUGGCUUUUAAACCACGAGGACGAAGGUUCAAGCCCUUCCUCCAGCAUAUGUAUUUUCUUAUAAUAGGUUCUAACAGAUUUAUAAUGUACUCCUCUGAUGUAUGUAUGGAGCAUGUUACUAAUUUUAAUGAUUCAGGAAUCAGGAUAAUUGUCAAUACAACCUGGGAUCUUGCAAAACUAAGACUCCCUCUCUCUUAGCGCUGAUGUUGCUAAUGCUCCUUUUGUCAGGUACCUUCCGCUCCUAAACCAAUGACUAACUAGUAGGCAAAAAAAAUGACGCCAAGGAUUUGUCAAUUUGUGAAAGAAUGUUUUGGGCUUUUAAUUAGUAUGAGUUUUCCACUAUUCCUCCGCUCUGAAGUAGGUUAAGAUGAUUAAGGUUUGAAAGACUUUGAUUACCUUUUAUUGUGGAUUGUUUUAUUGAUUUUAUUCAAGAUUUAUUUUGUGGGUCAUUUCUAGCCAAUUAUGAUUGCUCUUGAUCUGAGAAAUGACGCAAUUGAACAGUAGUUUUCAAAUGCAUUGGAUGAGACCUAAACCAUUAGUGUAGACUGUAGACCACCUAAGCAAAUAAAACCUUACAAAAGAUGCCAAAUAUGCAAGCUCAUCCAAGAGAGUUGAAAGCAUUGAGGUUCUCAAUUAAUUUGAGGUACAAAUUCCACAUCCUAUCUACUUGAUUACUUUUUGUUUAGUGUGGUUAGUAAUAAUAAACAUCUUAAAAAGCGUGUAAUUGUUAAACUUUCCAUUAUAAGUUUUUUACAAAUAAGUUGAAAAGGAGCUAUAGUGGAUGUGAACUCAAAAAUAAGUUUUUAAUCUUCGGUGUCUAAUAUAUCGGAUUUGGUGUUUUUUUUUUCAAGGGAAUGGGGUGAGGAGAGGUAUUAUCCUGUCAUCAAUCUCUUUCAUUUGAUCGAAAAUGGUCAAAGAUAGAGCAUAAUAGUUGUUCAGGUACAUCUAUAUACUUCCCUCAUAUGCCAUUAGAUACUGAAUCAGACGAUAUUACUUCACUCAAAUGUGACACUGAUAGCUUAACUGCUUACUUGCCUAUAAUACCAACUUUUUUUUAACCAAAUAUAUUAAUCAACAACAAAAUAAAUAAUGGAUUUGCUUAAUGCUCUCUCAACCCAACGACCACCGCAAAAUAGAAUCAGAAAAAUAUGCUCUUUCUAAUUUAUCUCAACGACCACCUUAAAUGCUUAUACAAUAGACUAGAAAAGUAUGCUUUUUCUCCGACUCGCUAAUGGAUUUGCUUAACGCUCUCUCAAACCAACGACCACUGCAACUGCAACUCUUUAAUUAAAAAUCUUCAAAACCUAUAAACCUUAACGGGAUACCUAAGCAAAAUUUCUGCAUAUAUGAAGGAAGGAGUUUUCCCACCUUGCAUUCCAAGUUCUCCAUCUAUUCUAUUAGUAAGCAUUGGCUAAGCCGAAAUCUCUUUGUAUUUUCAGUCUUCAAUUGUAUUUUCAGUUCUUUGUAUUCUCUUUGUGGAAGGAUGGAUUAAUUAGAUAUUUGGUUCAAAAAUGCAUGAGCCUAUGACAUAUAAAUGUGUUUCACUUAUUCAAGUUUUUUGUUUUAAUUCAUGGUAGUGAGGAGAAAAUCCAGUCAAGAACUGUAUGGUGACCCCUUCUUCAACUUUCAAGAUUCCAAGGAGCAAGAGAGACUACGAACGAGAGCAAAGGAUUCCGAGAAGCGCCUUUAACCACACUGUAGGCACCCUUUUUCAAUUUGCUUAUGUUUUAUCUCAGGUGUAUAUAUGUACACUUUUGUUUCUAUGUUUAUAAGAGCAUACAGUGAAACAAAUAGAUGUAAUACGUUCUUAGCCUAAUUGAUUUGUAUAUAUCUAUAUUAUAAGUCUGAUGAUUAAUAAACAAACAAAUUUACAUUGGCUGCCACUGAAUAUUCACAUUCA
rnacentral:lncRNA from 1 species